AUGAAGACUUUCCUGCUCCUCUUUAUAUCACUGGCCUGCUUGUCAGGUGUCCAGUCUCAGCAACUUGUCCAGUCAUCAGACCCAGUGGUGAUAAAGCCCGGGAAUUCCUAUAGAGCCUCAUGUACGGCUUCUGGAUUCACCUUCAGUGAUUACUAUAUGCACUGGGUUAGACAGAGUCCUGGCGGAGGAUUACAGUGGGUUGCUCGGAUUGAUUACAAUGGGGGCCGCACAUACUAUCAUGAUUCUGUUAAAGGACGAUUCACAAUCUCCAGAGAUAACAGUAAUAACCUACAGUCCACCGCAACCGAUACGGCAGACCAGGAGAAAGGCGUAACAAGAGAACAGCAACACGAAUCCCACGGCGGAUCCAAUCUUCGUCGAACUGUAGAACUCAACCUUUUCUGGAUGUUCCGUAAAACUCGGAUAGAACACCGUUCUCAGAUCGGUUUUCGUCCGGCGAGCAAUGGAGAAGAGCACACCCCCGGGUGUAAACUGUCUCCUCGAUACCUCCAAAGCUCGAACAUCCGACACACGUUUGAUGGAUAUCAAACACAACAACAUGGUCAGUUUGAAUGA